AAAAAAAUACAAUCUCCUUCUCUCGUCUUCUUCACAGUCUCAUAUUCUCGCUGCAAAAACGUUCAACACAUUCAUCUCCCUAUGUCGUCUUCUUCUCGUUUGAUGUUGCUGCUAACACUUGCACGAUCGUUCAACUCUUUCAUCUUCUUCUUGUUCGACUGCCUCUCCUUCAAAUUGGACAAGGUUUUGUUCGUCGUUGCCUCGUUCUUUCUCGCCCUUAGGUUUUGUUUUGGUGCUCUGACCUUGAUCGCUUCGAUGUUCUGUUCCUCGCACCGCCCUCACCCUCUCUUGCAAUGCUGUUCAAGCCUCUCACAAUCGCAGCCAUCACUCACAUCGAGUCACAACAGCUCUAGAACACGUUCUGAUCAGGGAGAUCCUUGUUUGAAAACAUGGGAAAUAGUUGUGGCUAAAGUCUAUCCAUGCCACAAGUUGUGUAGUUGAGGUUCGACCAACUUAGAGGCGAAAGCUUUUUUACCUUCAACAAAUUUAUUUUAACUACUAUAUGAAGAUGGAGAAAGAUUAGAAAAUCCAAUAUGGUAAUAUAUGGACUCAAUAUUGAAGCAUAUGCAUCUAUUUGUAAUGAGUAUCACUGCAAAUUAUGAGGAGAUCCAAAAGCGUUGAUCUGUUGAAGUGUACGAAGUUGUAUGAUACAUUGUUGCUUCAUGGGAAGAGGCAUGAUAGUUGCUUGCUGAUGUUGCUUACAAGAAAGCUUUCUUAUAGCGCAUUUCCACUUUUGCUUACCAUCAAACAAUAUCAGUUUUUCGCCUUCAAUCUACUCAAGGUCAGGUCACUACAACAUUUUAGAUCUAUCGCAACGCCUACAUUUUGGAAAGUAAAAAAAAACUGUUUUCAUAGUGUUGUAAGCAACAGUUUUCAUAUUUUGUUGCGGUAGCAUAUGAAAAAUUUGUAAAUCUUCUGCAACGGCUCUAAACCGUUCUUGUAUAGUGAAAGAGAAUGGUUUUUUAUUACUUCUUUUCGGCAACACCGAAAAACCGUUCCAGUAUAAUUUCUAUUUUUUUUAUCAUAUAACCGUUCUCCUAUUUUGGUGAGCGCCAGCUAAUUUGUUUUUCAGCCAAAUUUUCAUUCUUAUUUUUUUUUUUCUUUUCUGAAUAUCAAAUAAAAAUUCCGUUUUCUUUUAUUUUAAGCAAAAUUUCUCAAAAUUUCAUUCCAACUUUCAAAUUCAUCGUGUGUUUCAAUUCUCAAAAUCUCAUCCCAACUCCAAAUACUCAAAUAUCAAAAUUCCUCUACUCCACAUUCAGUUCUCUAAUCGAGUAUGGAUUGAUGCUGCUUCAAAUCCAACGCGACCUUACCAUCGAUCGUGAUCUGCUCACAACCCGCUUCAAAAUUUUCAGAACCUGCUUCUCUCACGAACGUCAUUGAUCGCGACCCCUUCCAAUUGUCCACUUCUUUCUCUUCUCACGAACCAAGAACCGCGUCUUCUCCAAGAAUGCCUUCGAGACUCAUGAACCCUUUUCUACUCCUUGAAACCCUUAAAUUUCCAAAAAGCUCUAACACUUCUCUACUCCAAUCCUAACAUUCUGAUUAUUUUUUUCAUCAUCUUAUUUGAUUUAGUGAUUUUGAUUAGGUUUUUCUUCUAGAGUUUCCAUUUGUGGUUUUGUUGAUUUCUUCGAGGAGUCUUCUGUCGUUUGUGUUGAGGAUUAAGAGAUUUUGGCAACGAGAAUUAAUGGCCUCGUAAAGAGAAUAUCAGUAAAUCCAUAUUACAGACUUUGGUUAUAUCUAGGAAUCCCUUAUGAAGAUUGCUUUUACUUGGAUGAAUGCUAUCAUCUCAAUGAUGAAGGACCCUGAUGCGGAUAAAGCAUUUGGAUGGGUGCUUGAAAUGUAAUUUUCUAUAUCUUCUCUAAAUUGUAUUUAUCCUUUCUUAGCCUCACAAGUCACAACUACUUGAUUGACUUUUUAUUCUAUUUUGUAUCAUUGGUCAUUAUUGAUAUAGGUAUUCUUAUGUCAUUUCAUCAGCUUCUCAUGUUGUUCAUAACAUAUUAUUCAUGGAAUUCUAGCAUUGGUGCUGUCGUGAAUUACCUAGUUUUCGAUUUGAAUUGUUCACUGAGUUAGACUACCUAGUUGGCAGGGGUUUGUGAAUGUAGUUAUGAUUGUUUUAUCUGUUUUUUCCAGGAAAUCAUUAAAUAUCUCACACACACACACACACACACACACACAUAUGUGUGUGUGUGUGUGUGUGUGUGUGUGGUAUGUACUUAUAUAAAUAAACAUCAUUAAGUUGACGAGGGAUGUUUUUAUCCAUUUUAAGAGACCUCUGAGGAAGUUAGUCUAUAGUGUAAAAUUAGACGAGUGUUUAACAGAUUAGUUAACGGUGGAAGCUGUGUUUUUCUCUGUUCAUGCACAAUAUGCAGCUGUAUUAUGGAUGAAGUUAUAGUUAACUAGAAUAAAUAAUGUGUGCACUUAUGUUCUGCAUUAUGGAUGAAGUUAUAGUUAACUAGAAUAAAUAAUGUGUAACUAUCUUUUAUAUCGCAAAUAGUCUUAUUAUUUUUGCAUUAUUUCAUUUCUCCUGCAAUUGAGAGGUUGUCUGGUGGCUUCAUGGUCUGCUUCUCAACCCCGCAGAUUGACUUUCUGUAGAUCUGAUUCCAAUCCUGUUCUAGAAGCCUUUGGAAAUGCAUAGACUGUUAGAAACAAUAAUUCAAGUUUGUGGAGAUUCAGUUUGACCAGAAGGGAUGAAUUUCUGGAGCUGCUAUCAGGACUUACCUGCUGGAAAGAUCACGUGUUUGCCAGUUGUCGGAUCCAGAGAGGAAUUAUCACUGUUUCUAUAUGCUUUGUGCUGCACCUCCAGAGGUUGUUCAGAAGUACAAAUUAGGAAACCCUAGAACCUUUCAUUAUCUAAAUCAAACAAAUUGCUAUGAGUUGGAAGGAUAUGAUGAAUUUAAAGAAUAUUGUGAUACAAGGAGAGCAAUGAUUUUGUUGGAAUAAGUUCAUAAUGCUGUUCUUAAAGUGUGAUCUGGAAUACGAUUCUCUUUGCAAGCGUAUAAUUGUUACUCGUGAUGAAACUAUUAUAAAAUGCCUGGAUCCCGAAGCUGCUACACUGAGCCGAGAUGCUUUAGCUAAGGUUGUGUACUCUAGGUUGUUUGACUGGUAAGUCUUUGAGCAGAUAGCACCAAAAUACAGCUUGAACCUUUGAUUUAUUUACUGAUAAAUUGGUCAAUUUGUUCCAAGUUCUGUGCCUGUA